AGUGAACGCUGGCGGUAGGCCUAACACAUGCAAGUCGAACGGCAGCACAGGAGAGCUUGCUCUCUGGGUGGCGAGUGGCGGACGGGUGAGGAAUACAUCGGAAUCUGCCCAGUCGUGGGGGAUAACGUAGGGAAACUUACGCUAAUACCGCAUACGACCUUCGGGGGAAAGAGGGGGAUCGCAAGACCUCUCGCGAUUGGAUGGGCCGAUGUCGGAUUAGCUAGUUGGCGGGGUAAUGGCCCACCAAGGCGACGAUCCGUAGCUGGUCUGAGAGGAUGAUCAGCCACACUGGAACUGAGACACGGUCCAGACUCCUACGGGAGGCAGCAGUGGGGAAUAUUGGACAAUGGGCGCAAGCCUGAUCCAGCCAUACCGCGUGGGUGAAGAAGGCCUUCGGGUUGUAAAGCCCUUUUGUUGGGAAAGAAAUCUUUCAGGCUAAUACCCUGGGAGGAUGACGGUACCCAAAGAAUAAGCACCGGCUAACUUCGUG
rnacentral:rRNA from 1 species